CCAAGGCCGAGAAGCUUACUCUUCUCAACCUCUGCCCCACUACAUUACUCGAGAUACAAUUGAUGGUUGAAGAGAGCGAGGAACGGCUGUCGGAGGAAGAAGUGGAGACCGUGCUUCAGAUCGUCGCAAAUGUGCGGAGAGAUGAGCAGGACGCAGAACAAGAGACCUAAUUUUAGAUCUUAAAAAAUAACUUAUUUAAAUAUAUUUUGCGUAUGUACAUUUUAUUUAUAAUAAACACGACUGGAAAUAG